GUCGAACGGUGAAGGGGAGCUUGCUCCUUGGAUCAGUGGCGAACGGCUGAGUAACACGUGAGCAAUCUGCCCUUGACUCUGGGAUAACUGCGGGAAACUGUAGCUAAUACCGGAUAUUACCUUGGAAGGCAUCUUCUGGGGUGGAAAGAAUUUUGGUCAAGGAUGAGCUCGCGGCCUAUCAGCUAGUUGGUGAGGUAAUGGCUCACCAAGGCGACGACGGGUAGCCGGCCUGAGAGGGUGACCGGCCACACUGGGACUGAGACACGGCCCAGACUCCUACGGGAGGCAGCAGUGGGGAAUAUUGCACAAUGGGCGCAAGCCUGAUGCAGCAACGCCGCGUGAGGGACGACGGCCUUCGGGUUGUAAACCUCUUUUAGUAGGGAAGAAGCGACUGGGUUUUCCUGGGAGUGACGGUACCUGCAGAAAAAGCACCGGCUAACUACGUGCCAGCAGCCGCGGUAAUACGUAGGGUGCAAGCGUUGUCCGGAAUUAUUGGGCGUAAAGAGCUCGUAGGCGGUUUGUCGCGUCUGCUGUGAAAACCCGAGGCUCAACCUCGGGCCUGCAGUGGGUACGGGCAGACUAGAGUGCGGUAGGGGAGAUUGGAAUUCCUGGUGUAGCGGUGGAAUGCGCAGAUAUCAGGAGGAACACCAAUGGCGAAGGCAGAUCUCUGGGCCGUAACUGACGCUGAGGAGCGAAAGCAUGGGGAGCGAACAGGAUUAGAUACCCUGGUAGUCCAUGCCGUAAACGUUGGGAACUAGAUGUGGGGACCAUUCCACGGUCUCCGUGUCGCAGCUAACGCAUUAAGUUCCCCGCCUGGGGAGUACGGCCGCAAGGCUAAAACUCAAAGGAAUUGACGGGGGCCCGCACAAGCGGCGGAGCAUGCGGAUUAAUUCGAUGCAACGCGAAGAACCUUACCAAGGCUUGACAUAUACCGGUAACGCCUGGAAACAGGUGCCCCGCAAGGUCGGUAUACAGGUGGUGCAUGGUUGUCGUCAGCUCGUGUCGUGAGAUGUUGGGUUAAGUCCCGCAACGAGCGCAACCCUCGUCCUAUGUUGCCAGCACGUAAUGGUGGGAACUCAUGGGAUACUGCCGGGGUCAACUCGGAGGAAGGUGGGGAUGACGUCAAAUCAUCAUGCCCCUUAUGUCUUGGGCUUCACGCAUGCUACAAUGGCCGGUACAAAGGGCUGCGAUACCGCAAGGUGGAGCGAAUCCCAAAAAGCCGGUCUCAGUUCGGAUUGAGGUCUGCAACUCGACCUCAUGAAGUCGGAGUCGCUAGUAAUCGCAGAUCAGCAACGCUGCGGUGAAUACGUUCCCGGGCCUUGUACACACCGCCCGUCAAGUCAUGAAAGUCGGUAACACCCGAAGCCAGUGGCCGAACCCGUAAGGGACGGA
rnacentral:rRNA from 1 species